rnacentral:lncRNA from 1 species
UAAACAGGACGCACGCCGCCGUCAAAGCGGUGCGCCGCCGCUGCCUCCGUCGUCUUCGCGGCAGAUCCGCUGCCGCGUCAAGACCACGGCCACCACCUUUCCUCCCUUCGCUCGUUCUCACCUUCUCUCAAUUUCGCACUGACUCACACACACUCACACGCGCGCACGCAGACACCACCACCGCGCUGCCGCGUCGUCCUCCCCUUCGCCGGUGGACAGACGGCCAGGAGCCGCCGCCUCCGUCGUCCGUUGAAUUUAAAGGUAAGCCCUAAUUUCCUUUCUCUCCUUUUCUUUUUCCUUCCCUCAUCCCUUCCCUUUUCUAAAUUAAAAUUUGAAAACCCUCUCCUCUGUUCCUUCCUUUGGCAGAUCGGAACCACGGCGGGGAGCCGCCUUCCGUCGACCACCGGCAGCCACCGCGGCUGCCGUUCCCUGACCUCGACUCACACGCACACACAGCAGUCAAGCCUCAAAUCAGUUCACACAUAGCAUUCUUAGCACAUAUCAUUCUCAUACUGUAAUCUGUAAUUGCUUAAUCAAAUCUGA